GGGAGGUAGUGACAAUAAAUAACAAUACAGGGUUCUUUGAAUCUUGUAAUUGGAAUGAGUACAAUUUAAAUCUCUUAACGAGGAACAAUUGGAGGGCAAGUCUGGUGCCAGCAGCCGCGGUAAUUCCAGCUCCAAUAGCGUAUAUUAAAGUUGUUGCAGUUAAAAAGCACGUAGUUGAAUUUCGGGAUCAAUACGUCGGUCGUGCUUUUUUGGUACGCACUGGCGUCAUUGGUUUCUCCUUUCUGACGAACCAUGAUGUCAUUAAUUUGGUGUUAUGGGGAGCUAGGACUGUUACUUUGAAAAAAUUAGAGUGUUUAAAGCAGGCUCACGCUUGAAUACAUUAGCAUGGAAUAAUGAAAUAGGACGUUUGAUCCUAUUUUGUUGGUUUCUAGGAUUGACGUAAUGAUUAAUAGGGAUAGUUGGG
rnacentral:rRNA from 1 species